rnacentral:lncRNA from 1 species
CGAAGUUGUGAAAAUGGCCGCCGUACCCGUUUUGGGCCAAGAAUACGUGUGCUAUAGGUCACGUGAGCCCGAAUACGGACACGCCGACAACCGGGGUUGAAAACGUGGGGAUGGUCCGAAGUUGUGAAAAUAGCCGCCGGACCCGUUUUGGGCCAAGAAUACGUGUGCUAUAGGUCACGUGAGCCCGAAUACGGACACGCCGACAACCGGGGUUGAAAACG